rnacentral:rRNA from 1 species
GACGAACCGUGCGAACGUUGUUCGGAAUCACUGGGCUUAAAGGGCGCGAUAGCGGGCUAUCAAGUCCGGGGGUGAAAUCCUCCAGCUUAACUGGAGAACUGCCUCGGAUACUGAUGGUCUCGAGGAGGAUGAGGGGCACACGGAACUGUGGGGUGGAGCGGUGAAAUGCGUUGAUAUCCAUAGGAACUCCGGUGGCGAAAGCGGUGUGCUGGAUCCUUUCUGACGCUGAGGCGCGAAAGCCAGGGGAGCAAACGGG